GACGAACGCUGGCGGCGUGCUUAACACAUGCAAGUCGAACGGAAAGGCCCUGCUUUUGUGGGGUGCUCGAGUGGCGAACGGGUGAGUAACACGUGAGUAACCUGCCCUUGACUUUGGGAUAACUUCAGGAAACUGGGGCUAAUACCGGAUAGGAGCUCCUGCUGCAUGGUGGGGGUUGGAAAGUUUCGGCGGUUGGGGAUGGACUCGCGGCUUAUCAGCUUGUUGGUGGGGUAGUGGCUUACCAAGGCUUUGACGGGUAGCCGGCCUGAGAGGGUGACCGGCCACAUUGGGACUGGGAUACGGCCCGGACUCCUACGGGAGGCAGCAGUGGGGAAUAUAGCACAAUGGGCGGAAGCCUGAUGCAGCACCGCCGCGUGCGGGAUGACGGCCUUCGGGUUGUAAACCGCUUUCGCCUGUGACGAAGCGUGAGUGACGGUAAUGGGUAAAGAAGCACCGGCUAACUACGUG
rnacentral:rRNA from 1 species